GUCGUGCGAGAAAAGUAUCUUCGGAUAUGAGUAGAGCGGCGGACGGGUGAGUAACGCGUAGGAAUCUACCUAGUAGAAGGGGAUAGCCCGAGGAAACUCGGAUUAAUACCGUAUACCUCCUUCGGGAGAAAGAAGGCCUCUCUUUGAAGCUUUCGCUACUAGAUGAGCCUGCGUAAGAUUAGCUUGUUGGUGAGGUAAAGGCUCACCAAGGCUACGAUCUUUAGCGGGUCUGAGAGGACGAUCCGCCACAUUGGGACUGAGACACGGCCCAGACUCCUACGGGAGGCAGCAGUGGGGAAUAUUGGACAAUGGGCGAAAGCCUGAUCCAGCCAUACCGCGUGUGUGAAGAAGGCCCUAGGGUUGUAAAGCACUUUAAGUUGGGAAGAAAAGUUAUUGGUUAAUACCCAAUGACCGUGACAUUACCAUCAGAAUAAGGACCGGCUAAUUCCGUGCCAGCAGCCGCGGUAAUACGGAAGGUCCAAGCGUUAAUCGGAAUUACUGGGCGUAAAGCGCGCGUAGGUGGUUUAUUAAGUUGGGUGUGAAAUCCCCGGGCUCAACCUGGGAACUGCAUCCAAAACUGAUUCACUAGAGUACGAUAGAGGGAGGUAGAAUUCACAGUGUAGCGGUGGAAUGCGUAGAUAUUGUGAAGAAUACCAAUGGCGAAGGCAGCCUCCUGGAUCUGUACUGACACUGAGGUGCGAAAGCGUGGGUAGCGAACAGGAUUAGAUACCCUGGUAGUCCACGCCGUAAACGAUGUCAACUAUCUGUUGGAAAGCAUUGCUUUUUCAGUGGAGCAGCUAACGUAAUAAGUUGACCGC
rnacentral:rRNA from 1 species